rnacentral:snRNA from 9 species
GCACCAGUCUGGCAGGGUAGACAUCAUGCCCAGAAAGUUGUUUUUCCCAGGGUGAGAACAAUCCCUCGCACUCUAGCUGUUCUGACCUUGCGAUUUUCCCACACACAGGGAAGUUGACUGCAUAAUUUGUAGAACAUCUCAAGUUAUGGAUUUUUUUUCCCCUGAA